rnacentral:rRNA from 1 species
AACGAACGCUGGCGGCAUGCCUAACACAUGCAAGUCGAACGAGACCUUCGGGUCUAGUGGCGCACGGGUGCGUAACGCGUGGGAACCUGCCCUUAGGUUCGGAAUAACUCCCCGAAAGGUGUGCUAAUACCGGAUAAUGUCUUCGGACCAAAGAUUUAUCGCCUUUGGAUGGGCCCGCGUUGGAUUAGCUAGUUGGUAGGGUAAAAGCCUACCAAGGCGACGAUCCAUAGCUGGUCUGAGAGGAUGAUCAGCCACACUGGGACUGAGACACGGCCCAGACUCCUACGGGAGGCAGCAGUGGGGAAUAUUGGACAAUGGGCGAAAGCCUGAUCCAGCAAUGCCGCGUGAGUGAUGAAGGCCUUAGGGUUGUAAAGCUCUUUUACCCGGGAUGAUAAUGACAGUACCGGGAGAAUAAGCGCCGGCUAACUCCGUG